rnacentral:rRNA from 1 species
UACGUAGGGUCCGAGCGUUGUCCGGAAUUACUGGGCGUAAAGAGCUCGUAGGUGGUUUGUCGCGUUGUUCGUGAAAACUCACAGCUCAACUGUGGGCGUGCGGGCGAUACGGGCAGACUUGAGUACUGCAGGGGAGACUGGAAUUCCUGGUGUAGCGGUGGAAUGCGCAGAUAUCAGGAGGAACACCGAUGGCGAAGGCAGGUCACUGGGCCGCAACUGACGCUGAGGAGCGAAAGCAUGGGGAGCGAACAGG